rnacentral:lncRNA from 1 species
CCAGGAGUUUCCGUUGUCCUUCAUAUGAAACAUGGCCUGAAGGUGACAUUGACAAAAAGAAGCAUCUGAGAUAAAGUAAUCUUAGUUUAUAAUAACUGAUUGUGUUCACCUUCUAUAUGUAAGGUUUGUAGUAAUGUUGAAAUUUAAUAAUUUGUAUUGUGUUCCCACCACAACAGCGCACUACUAUUGCGGUGAAACACAAGUUUACAUAACUCUUCAUAAUGUUUGAGACUCAUGCUGUCCUUCCCAAACCGAAAGACUCCCCACAGUUUUUCCCUCCUAUUAUUUCGUACUGUUCUUCUAAGUAACCGACUAACCAAUCGAAAAUUUCUUCAAAUUAUAGAAGUAAAAGGAUUAAAAGCCAACAACAAUGCCUUCCAUGCUAAACACCGGUUAUUCAAUUGUUUAUCUGAAAUGACAUACGAAGAUGACUCAACCAAAAGACCAUAUUAUAAUAAGCAAUACAAUUUCUCCCAUGUAUACAGUCCCUCCCUUCCCCAACUCAACAAUCUUACCGAUAUUUUGCCUCUGCCGCCACCUGCAUUAUUCCCUCCUGCAGCCUGAACAGCUUUCUUCGCCGCCUUCUCCUGCAAUGCUUUUGCAUCCCUGCACGCGAAGUAAACAUAAUGUCAGAUUGCAUCAUCCCUCGAUAUUACAACCAUUUUGCAGCCACAAUUGGUCGCAGCAUUCGGUGAUAAUUUUACCAACUUUCGUAAUUACUGUGGGUGCAUGAAUAUUUGCAAAUUCGUCAUUUUCUAGAACACGAUUCCUACAACAACAAAAAAAUCGUUUUUCAUGUAAAUUUAAACACGCAAAUUUCCAAUAGCAUAAACAGAGAAAGCGAACAAAAGCAACCUUUCCUGCGCUGUUGAGGAGUGAAACCAUCAUUCUUAAGGUGCUUGGAUUUUCCAGCAGCUCUUGCCUGAGCCCUUUCACGGUCUCGGUCCCUCUGGUUACCGCGUUCGCUUUAGUUAAGUCCAAACAACUGUAUUCAGUGAACAAAAAACUACUAACUUCCAUGACAAUUCAUUAAAAAGAAACGAAAACACAAAAAAACAAGACGACGGUCCAUAUGAAAGGAUAUGAGUCAUGCUUUGAGAGAUUGUUGAAAAACGAAAGGUGAAGGUAGAAACGAGGAAGACGAAACGCCCUGAAGAAGAAGAAAAGCAAAGUGAAUUGUGAGAGAAGAAAGUGAUGAAUGAAGUGAGAAGAUUAAUAUGAAGCAGAAUGAGUAAAAUAAAAGUGGUGUUGUUAUAUGCAAUGGAUGACUCUAGAUGGACC